AAGUGUCCAAUGUAAAAGAUAUAAAAUGUUUAUUAUAUUCUUUUAUAACAAAAGUAAGAUCUGAGUCUGUGUCUCUCCACCUUCAAACCCAAAAUCGAUAUCUUCCUAUGUGCAUCUCAGAUCCGUUUCUUACAACCCAAAUUCUUCUCUUUUAGCUCUUCCUUUCAUAAACAAUAGUUGCCUCCGGUUUCGUCUUUCUCACCGGCGCUGCUUGAUGUGAGUGAGAAUUCAGCAACACUUCAUCACUCAAUCAAUCUCUCUCGAAAUUGAUGUUUGUUUUCUCGACGACCGUUUCCCAAUAUCCGAAAUCGAUCUCCGUCUCUUCCCACAGUUUCAGCAUCACUGAGAAGCAGCAUAGAAGCAGUCACAAUAACGAACCCUCUAUCCCAACAUACGAGAAACCAAUUCGGUUUCGGAUCUGAAUAUCAUCUCCAGAUCGAGAAGAGAAACUGGUUACCGUCGGAGAAGGUGGGUCGUGCCUAGAAUCAAACGGUGGUGAUGCUACAGCUGUAGCCACGAAGCCCAAAGGAGAUGGAGAGGACCCAGAGCAACCAAAGCUUUGAGCUGUGUUAAACUCUGAUAUUGUUAGGGAAAAGCCUAAUGUUAAGCGUGGACAGAUGUUGCUGGGCUUGAAGGUGCUAAACAAGCUUUGAAGGAAGCUGUGAUUUUGCUUGUUAAGUUCACACAGUUCUUCACCGGUGAAUGUUUCUACUUUCAAUUUUCAAAUUGAUGUGAAUUAGUGGUGAGGACUGCGAGAAAUCUGAUUGUGGUGACAGUUGAGUUCAAGGAGACCAUGUAAGUCACUUACCUAUCUCGUGCUACUUACGUUUUUUAACUUUGCUAGGGCGGAUAAUGAGCAAGCCAUCUUCCGCUUAAAAGCUUUUAUUCUAUGAACUACACAUUGGUGAUUAUAAUGUCGAACUUAUGGCUGAUAUAAGGUGAAUGUUUUGUUUAUCCGAUUCUCUACUUGUUUUAUAGAUAACUUUAGUGUUGAUUCUACUCACCCAUAAGUCUCUGAUUUUUGAGUUUGAGCUAAAAUUUCUUUAUUUGAUCUGUCAACGUUUUGGGUUAGUGAAUAUCUUCCUUUUCUUUACCACAAAAGCACCUUAGUAUUGUAUUAACGAGUUGAA